AACGAACGCUGGCGGCAGGCUUAACACAUGCAAGUCGAACGCAUCGCAAGAUGAGUGGCAGACGGGUGAGUAACGCGUGGGAACGUACCCUUUACUACGGAAUAGCUCCGGGAAACUGGAAUUAAUACCGGAUGUGCCCUUCGGGGAAAGAUUUAUCGGUAAAGGAUCGGCCCGCGUUGGAUUAGCUAGUUGGUGGGGUAAAGGCCUACCAAGGCGACGAUCCAUAGCAGGUCUGAGAGGAUGAUCAGCCACAUUGGGACUGAGACACGGCCCAAACUCCUACGGGAGGCAGCAGUGGGGAAUAUUGGACAAUGGGCGCAAGCCUGAUCCAGCCAUGCCGCGUGAGUGAUGAAGGUCUUAGGAUUGUAAAGCUCUUUCACCGGGGAAGAUAAUGACGGUACCCGGAGAAGAAGCCCCGGCUAACUUCGUGCCAGCCGCCGCAGUAACAC
rnacentral:rRNA from 1 species